CCCGACUGCUAUUUGGGUGAGAAUAAGCCAUGCAAGUCGAAUGGAAUACCAAAAUAUUCCAUGGCAAACUGCUCAAUAACACGUGAUCAACUUACCCUAUGGAAAACAAUAACCUCUGGAAACGGAGGAUAAUGGUUUAUAGUUGAAAAGGCUUGGAAAAGUUUUUCAAUAAAAGGGAAUAAUAAAAAUGGUUAUUAUUUUGCCAUAGGAUAGGAUUGCGGUCGAUUAUGGCUGUUGGUGAGGUAAUGGCUCACCAAACCAAUAAUCGAUAGGGGCCGUGAGAGCGGGAGCCCCGAGAUGGGUACUGAGACAACGACCCAGGCCUUACGAGGUGCAGCAGGCGCGAAAACUCCGCAAUACACGAAAGUGUGACGGGGUUACCCAAAGUGCUUAAUUUUUAAGCUGUGGUAAGUGUGUGAUGUACCUUACUAGAAAGGAGAGGGCAAGGCUGGUGCCAGCCGCCGCGGUAAAACCAGCUCUUCAAGUGGGUCGGGAUAUUAUUGGGCUUAAAGUGUCCGUAGCUUGUAUAAUAAGUUCCUGGUAAAAUCUAAUAGCUUAACUAUUAGUAUGCUAGGAAUACUGUUAUACUAGAGGGCGGGAGAGGUUUGAGGUACUUCAGGGGUAGGGGUGAAAUCCUAUAAUCCGUGAAGGACCACCAGUGGCGAAGGCGUCAGACUGGAACGCGCCUGACAGUGAGGGACGAAAGCCAGGGGAGCGAACCGGAUUAGAUACCCGGGUAGUCCUGGCCGUAAACGAUGCACACUAGGUGUUGGUAUGGCUAUGAGCCAUAUCAGUGCCGAAGGGAAACCAUUAAGUGUGCCGCCUGGGAAGUACGGUCGCAAGGUUAAAACUUAAAGGAAUUGGCGGGGGAGCACCACAAGGGGUGAAGCCUGCGGUUCA
rnacentral:rRNA from 1 species